GGUUUACACUUCUGCACUCAUUACAAGGAAGUAACUGGGAUACACUUCUAGGACGGGUUUUCAGAAUUUGAACUAUCAAACACACUAGUAAAAUAUGGUCAGAUUACAUUCAAUUAAGAAGGAACAACAGACCAAUUGAUUCUUCAUUGAAUGCUGAUAAGUAAAAUCCUGAAAAAAAGAAAUAAAUGCAAAUUUUGUACAAUGGCGAAAAAACAGAUAUGGAAUAAAGUUUAAAAGAAAAUUAAGAACAUGAAGCAGAAGAUUAUUGAGUCAUCAUGUUUAAAACAAUGGUCAAAAUAAUGACUGAAAUGCCCCACUAAAACUUAUGUGGUUAGCAUCAAGUUGUGAUUUAACUACAAAUGUCAACACAUUCUCUAAUGGAGGAGUAGGAACUGCAUAGCCCUCCAGAUGUUGUUGGACUACAACUCCCAGCAUUCCUCACCUUUGGCUGUGGUGGGUAGAACUCACUGCAGGCUAACAAUAUCUGAAGAAGAAUAUGAUCUCCAUCCCUGUAUUAAACCAUUUUU